GGAUGUGAAAGCUAUCUGGCUGCGACAUCUGUCACCCCAUUGAUCGCCAGGGUUGAUUCGGCUGAUCUGGCUGGCUAGGCGGGUGUCCCCUUCCUCCCUCACCACUCCAUGUGCGUCCCUCCCGAAGCUGCGUGCUGGGUCAAAGAGGAUGACCUUCCCCGAUAGAGGAGGACCAUUCUUCGGUCAAGGGUAUAUGAGUAGCUGCGCUCCCCUGCUAGAACCUCCAAACAAGCUCUCAAGAGUCUCAGGAACAGUGAUGCCUGUCACGCAUGGGGUUGGUGCUCUUUUAUUUGUGCCAACUCAAACUUAAGUUUCAGGCUUAGAAC
ensembl:misc_RNA 7SK 7SK RNA